GAUGAAGAACGCAGCGAAAUGCGAUAAUUAAUGUGAAUUGCAGAAUUUAGUGAAUCAUCGAAUCUUUGAACGCACAUUGCGCCCGCGAGUAUUCUCGCGGGCAUGCCUGUCCGAGCGUCAUUUCAACCCUCAGGGCCCGCCUGCUUCGGCAGGCGCGGCGCUGGUGUUGGGGAUCGGCCUAACCGCCGUCCCCCAAAUACAGUGGCGGUCUCGCUGCAGCCUCCCCUGCGUAGUAGCAACACUCGCAUGCGGAGCGCGGCGCGGCCACGCCGUAAAACCCCCGACUUUCUGAACGUUGACCUCGGAUCAGGUAGGAAUACCCGCUGAACUUAAGCAUAUCAAUAAGCGGAGGA
rnacentral:misc_RNA from 1 species